UUUAACCUCCUCUUACAAUAAGAUAAGUUUGCUAACCCUUUUUAAAGUCAUUUAAAGUCCUGAUAACUUUAACGAACUUAGAAAAGGUUUCCAGAUAAAUUUUCUGAUUUAUUCCAUUUCCGAAAAUGAUCCUUAACCUGUUUUUUAUUACAUUUUUUUCAGGUGAAAAUCCACGAAUGUGGUAAUUUCUUUGCCGUUGUGUGGUACAAGGAGAAUACAAGAAACCAGUUUUCAGACCGAGUAUAUGUCUACAGACAUCACUCGGGGGUAUCUAAGGCCGAGGGUGUAUGGAUGGGACGAGCCAGCCAUAUUUACGAACCUACCAACUUUGUGAUGAAGGUUUUAGUUUCUCCACUUUUAUUAUUAG